rnacentral:lncRNA from 1 species
AUGGCCAAGUGGGUUUUUCCUUUGUUGCAAAUGGGGAAUGUUUUUCCUUUGACUCUACCAUCCAGUUCAGGACGUCUCAGUGUGUUUAACAUUUGUCAACAGGCCCAAGGACUCACAGUUGGAAGACUGGAGAAGACUUUUUAAAAAGAUCUGGAUUUUUCCUUAUGACUUGGAAUCCAUCUUUGUCUUGUAUAACUAGGUCAUAGCACACCAUUCAUGUCAGCAGUUAACAGUUUUGAAUUACAAAAAAACCUAAAGCAGUAAACAGUCCUCAGCGAAGCCGCCUUUUUGCCUACCCAACCCUGGAAAGUUUGCAGAAGUGGAAGGAGCAGAACGUGAGGGUGUAACUUACAAAAAGGUUCUGGGCCGGAGAAGGGGCGACGUUCGGGCACCCCCCGAAUGGACAAUCUUUCCUUCUGUCAACGGCAGGGGCAGGCCUAGUUUGACUCUGACAGUCCUCCCACUAAGGUAGGUGUGAGUCCUUGCCCAGACCGUGAGGGAGAUUUGGGGGGCUCUGGCCUGCAGCCCAGGGAGGGCCGAACCCCAAACCCGCCGGGCU